UACACUCACUAGGGGAGCUUUAUUUAAGAGCUGAGAAAGAAUUAAUAAUUCUUGACCCUUUGUACCUGAUCUAGGUAAUACUAGCGUAGGGAAGUUGUUGCUUUAAACU
rnacentral:ncRNA from 2 species